CAAUAAGCGGAGGAAAAGAAACUAACAAGGAUUCCCCUAGUAACUGCGAGUGAAGCGGGAUGAGCUCAAAUUUAAAAUCUGGCGGUCUCUGGCCGUCCGAGUUGUAGUCUGGAGAAGCGUUUUCCGCGUCGGACCGUGUACAAGUCUCCUGGAAUGGAGCGUCAUAGAGGGUGAGAAUCCCGUCCAUGGCACGGACAGCCGAUGCUCUGUGAUACGCUCUCGAAGAGUCGAGUUGUUUGGGAAUGCAGCUCAAAAUGGGUGGUAAAUUCCAUCUAAAGCUAAAUAUUGGCGAGAGACCGAUAGCGAACAAGUACCGUGAGGGAAAGAUGAAAAGCACUUUGAAAAGAGAGUUAAACAGUACGUGAAAUUGUUGAAAGGGAAACGCUUGAAGUCAGUCGCGUCCCGUAGAACUCAGCCUGGUUUCGGCCUGGUGUACUUUCUAUGUGGACGGGUCAACAUCAAUUUUGGCCGGUGGACAAAGGUGAGGGGAAUGUAGCGUCGCUUCGGUGACGUGUUAUAGCCCCUUGCUGUAUACACUGGUUGGGAUUGAGGACUGCAGCGCGCCUUAUUGGCCGGGGGUUCGCCCUACGUACCGCGCUUAGGAUGUUGGCAUAAUGGCUUUAAGCGAC
rnacentral:rRNA from 1 species